rnacentral:rRNA from 1 species
UACGUAGGGGGCAAGCGUUGUCCGGAAUCAUUGGGCGUAAAGAGCGCGUAGGCGGCCCUGUAAGUCCGCUGUGAAAGUCAAGGGCUCAACCCUUGAAUGCCGGUGGAUACUGCAGGGCUAGAGUCCGGAAGAGGCGAGUGGAAUUCCUGGUGUAGCGGUGAAAUGCGCAGAUAUCAGGAGGAACACCGAUGGCGAAGGCAGGUCUCUGGGCCGAUACUGACGCUGAGGAGCGAAAGCGUGGGGAGCGAACAGG